GCAGCAGGAAUGUGCCCAGCCGGCCGAUCACAGGAUGUGGACGUGAGUCAACCAAGCGAGAAGUUCCAUCUGGAAACUCGGGCAUGAGGUUUAAAUGUGGUCUGCUCUGCCUCAGGCUGGCUGUGACCUUGAGCUGGUGAUGUCCCUGCCUCAGUUUCCUCACCUUCUGAUGGAGAUGGGAGGGGAAGAAAGCAGCUGCCUCUGGGUGGUGGCAGAGAUGCCCAUGUCUAGGACCUCCAGGCCUUAACUAAUCAGGGGCACUGAUGAAGCCAGCGGGGCUCCACUGGGGACCACAGGCAAGACUGGGCCAGGACGAGGCGGUCACGCAGAGAAAGAAGAUAAAAGGGAACAGAAGAGAAAAUUCAAAAGGAGCACGGGCCUCCCCGGGAGUGGGCUUCAGCCUCCCUAGACUCCUGUCUCCUUCCAAGGGCUAGGCCUGGGGGACCAGAAGCAAGAGUCCCUAGAGCGUCCAAGAUUUUUGGUUUCAAACCAAUUUCCUGCUGACCAGAAUGAAAUGGAGCCACAUUCCAGCACGAUGCACCUGCUGACCUCCUGCAAGUCAGGGACCUUCUCUGCCCCUCUUUUGCUCUGCUGCAGGAGGGAGAAGCUGGGAAUGUGUUCCUCUGGGGUCCCAUCACCUCCAGCCAGCCACUGUCCCUGUCUCCCCAAAACCUCCUCGUUGUCCCUCCUCUGUCCUCCUCCUCCUCCAUCUGCCUUCGCCCUGCUCUCCUCUUUUUCGCCUGAGGUUCGUGCUGCCUCCUCACCUCUUGUCCUGUUUCUCCCUUCUCUCUGCUCCCUCCUUUGAUCUUGCUAUUUUGCUUCUCUUUCCCUUCCUCUCUUCUCCUCCCUCCCCUUCCUCCCUGCUCCCUGCCUCAGCUUCUCAGUCUCUCUCCGUUCUUCCUCUAGCUUCCUUCCCUCCCCAGAAGACCCAGCCCUUCCUAGAGCCCCAGAAGCCAGGGUUCAUGCCCCAGCUCUCUACCCACACAUGCUGUGCAACCCUGGGCCAGUCACUGGUCUCUUGGGCCUCAGUUCAACAGAUGGCUGUCUUGGUGAUGUGAGAUCAUAGGGUGGAAGCACCCAGAAUGGUGCCAGGCACUCAAAAAUUUUUUUCUUUUCCUUUUUAAGGAACUACUAACCGUGAGGUUAUGGAUUACCAAACCGUUCCUGUUCUUGGAAUCUGGGUCCUACUAUUCCCAAGAAUUUGAAUUACCACGGGUCCCUGGGGAUGUAAGGGGAUGAGGCUUCUGAUGUACUUUGGGAGGGGGAGGAGUGGAAAGAGGAGUUGGGAGGACACUCUAGCAUUGCCCAGAGGGCAGAGGACAUUCUGCCUAUUUCCAGAGGUUAUUGACCCUGGAUCUCUUUUAUGGAGUUCCUCACCCAGGCCCCUUGAGCUUGGCCAUACUUGAGGCAAUGGGAUAUCUUCCUUCUCCUGGAGCCCCUUGAAUCUUAGGCCUCGGGAACACACAGUCUACUGUGUUUCUUGGCUGCACCCACGGAGGACAGCCCCCAUACUCCUUGCUUACAACCAGCAAAGACUCCACAGCCAUCCCUGCACACGACUCAGGCUCCUUGGCUUGGCACUCAAGGCUCUUUGCUUUCCUGUCCUGCUUUGCUUCCAGCUGCAAAGAUGGUGGCUUCCUGUUUUCCUCUUCGUUUCCUUUGCUUAAGUUGAUUCUCAGCCAGACAUGCUUUCCCCCUGCACGCUUCCCUAAGCCAUCCUAUCUGGGACCCUGACCCAAUCAAUGGUUCCCUAAUGCACCUUUGAGACCAAGUGUACCUGGCACCUCCUCUCUUGCCCCACUAUCUGCUCACAUGACCCUCUGCAGGCCUGUAAGCUGCUGGAGGCUCCGAGUAUGCCUCAUUCAUGUCUAUCCCCCUUACUAGGCCCAGACCAUGGAAGACACUCAAUAAAAAGUAAGUGAUUAAAUGACAACCUCUACGGAAAAGAGUAUGGAGAUUUCUCAAAGAACUAAAAACAGAACUACCUUUUGGCCAGAUGCAGUGGCUCACACCUAUAAUCCCAACAUUUGGGAAGGCUGAGGCAGGUGGAUUGCUUGAGCCCAGGAGUUCAAGAUCAGCCUGGGCAACAUGGUGAAACCCUAUCUCUACAAAAAAUACAGAAAAUUAGAUGAGACUACAGGUGGCACACAUCCAUAGUACCAGCUACUCCAGAGGCUGAGGCGGGAGGAUCGCUUGAGCCCAGGAGGUCCAGGCUACAGUGGGCCAAGAUCACGCCAUUGCACUCCAGCCUCAGUGAUAAAGUGGCAUUCUGUCUCAAAAGAAAAAGAACUGGCCAAGCAUGGUGGCUCACGUCUGUAAUCCCAGCACUUUGGGAGGCCGAGGCAGGUGGAUCACAUGAGAUCAGGAGUUUGAGACUAGCCUGGCCAACAAUGAUGAAACCCCAUCUCUACUAAAAAUACAAUAAUUAGCUGGGCGUGGUGGCGGGCGCCUGUAAUCCCAGCUACUCAGGAGGCUGAGGCAGGAGAAUCAUUUGAACCCGGGAGGCAAAGUGAGCCAAGAUUGUGCCACUGCACUCCAGCCUGGGCAACAAGAGCGAAACUCAGUCUCAAAAGAAAAAGAAAAAGAGAGAAAAGAAGAAAGGAAAAGAAAUAUCAUUUGAUCCAGCAAUCUCACUGAGUAUCUAACCAAAGGAAAAUAAAUCACUAUACCAAAAA
rnacentral:lncRNA from 1 species